rnacentral:rRNA from 1 species
CUCGUAGGCGGCCAACUAAGUCAGACGUGAAAUCCCUCGGCUUAACCGGGGAACUGCAUCUGAUACUGGAUGGCUUGAGUUUGGGAGAGGGAUGCGGAAUUCCAGGUGUAGCGGUGAAAUGCGUAGAUAUCUGGAGGAACACCGGUGGCGAAGGCGGCAUCCUGGACCAACACUGACGCUGAGGAGCGAAAGCCAGGGAGCAAACG